rnacentral:rRNA from 1 species
CCAGACACCUACGGGUGGCUGCAGUCGCGAAUCUUCCUCAAUGGCCGAAAGGCUGAAGGAGCGACGCCGCGUGCAGGAUGAAGGCCUUCGGGUCGUAAACUGCUUUUGCAGGGGACGAACGUAUGACGGUACCCUGAGAAUAAGAGGUUGCUAACUCUGUGCCAGCAGCAGCGGUAAUACAGAGACCUCAAGCGUUAUCCGGAUUUAUUGGGCGUAAAGCGUCCGCAGGUGGUUUGAAAAGUCAUUGGUCAAAUCUUGAAGCUCAACUUCAAGACUGCUUGUGAUACUUUCAGACUAGAGGAUGGGAGAGGCGAGUGGAAUUACCGGUGUAGUAGUAAAAUGCGUUUAUAUCGGUAAGAACACCAGAGGCGAAGGCGGCUCGCUGGAACAUUCCUGACACUCAUGGACGAAAGCGUGGGGAGCAAAACGGAUUAGAUACCCGUGUAGUCCACGCCCUAAACGAUGGAUACUAGGUAUUGGCAGUAUCGACCCUGUCAGUGCCGGUGACAAUAGCUAACGCGUUAAGUAUCCCGCCUGGGAAGUACGGUCGCAAGACUAAAACUCAAAGGAAUAGACGGGGACCCGCACAAGCGGUGGAGCAUGUGGUUUAAUUCGACGGUAAGCGAAGAACCUUACCAGGGCUUGAACUGUAGCUGCAAAUCCCAUGAAAGUGGGACUCCUUCGAGGGUGCUAUAGAGGUGCUGCAUGGUUGUCGUCAGCUCGUGCUGUGAAGUGUACCGUUAAGUCGGGAAACGAGCGCAACCCCUAUGCUGUGUUAAAUUGUACACAGCAAACUGCCUUGGAUAACAAGGAGGAAGGAAGGGAUGACGCCAAAUCAGCAUGGCUCUUACGUCCUGGGCCACACACGUGCUACAAUGGGAAGUAACAAAGGGUUUUGCCAAGUCGCGAGACGGAGCUAAUCCCAGAAACCUUCCCCCAGUUCAGAUUGGAGUCUGCAACUCGACUCCAUGAAGUCGGAAUCGCUAGUAAACGCCGAUCAGCCACGCGGCGUUGAAUACGUUCUCGGGUCUUGUACUCACCGCCCGUCAAGCCAAGGGAGUUGGCAAUGCCUGAAUCUCGUUUUCACGGGAGAGGGCAGGGUCAGCAACAGGGGCUAAGUCGUAACAAGGCAUCCGUAGCGGAAGCUGUGGAUGGAUCACCUCCUU